UUUGGUCCAAUUCUCUUCUUCAAAAAUUCCACCAAAAUUCCUUAAAAUAUUAGAUAGAUUUCUAAGCCUAUUAGAACCAAUCAAUCUCCUUCUACACAUCAUUAAUGUCCAAAACCAAAAAAAUCUAUUUUCAGCCAAUAGGAAGCCUCCAUUUGUGUACCCCAAAUUCCUCCAUUUACGUCCCAUAGCCCCAAAAAUAUCCAAUAUAUUCCCAAAAAUGCUAAGAUGCAUUCUAAGCAUUUUCAUGAGUUCACCUUCCCAAGAACAUGUCCUAAACCCACAAUACCAAGGGGGAACUUAAUUUACCUAUAUAUAUUCAAUUUCCUUUAUAUUGGAAAUCAUGCCAAACUUCCAAAUCAUUCCUAGGAGCUCAAAAAAUUCUUAGCACAUACCAUAACUCUAUGACAUAGAACUUACCAUCAAGUCAUUCUCUAACCCAAGCACUCACAUCAAGGAACCCACAUAAACUAUAGGAAAUAUAACAUGAAAUAUAGGAGAUCAUGAGAAACUUAGGAAAAGCCAUCUUAGUUCUAUCUUAUGACCCAAAACCCUUUCUAACCACCCUGAAUUCCUCCUAAUAAGCUUUGGAUUACUUUGUUUGGUGAUUGAUUGUAUGUUUCCUUCUUCUGUUUAUCUAGUAACUUAAGUUCCCUCCGAAAGUAUCACAUUUCACCUCGGAGAUAGUCAUCCAUAUAAGGAUUCGGUUUCGCCGCUCGACAAACAAGGCAAGUCUUAACACCAAGCCCUUGAUCAUGCUAUAUUUUGCAAUACUAAAAUUAACCAAGAUAAUAACGUGAUAAUGCAUAUUUCAUAAACCACUUUAAAUAUAAGGUUAGGCAUAUUCCUAAAAGUAAACUCUCUUUCCUCCUCCUUGUUUAAAACCCUAGGAAUGGCCUUGUAUCUUAGUUCUAACAGAUCUCAUAUAUUUUCUAUUGCCAGUUCAAUCAUUUAGGUGAGAGUUGUGGUAAAGUAAAUGAACUAUAAAAUUUGACUAGCAACAAACUAAGAUGGACGCGAGCUAAGUUGGGUAACCUGGAGAGGGGCCCCUAUCCAGUGUUACCUCGAUCAAUUAAGGACCGGCUCAUUGAGAAAGUCCUUCCAAUAUAUAUGCAACCAUACGAGAUGAAAAGGUACAGCCUUCGCGAGUACCUAUUUUUGUGAGUACUUGACUCACACCCCACUACAAAAUCUAGUAAUCCAUACCAAUGGGCCAUGGUGGGCAAAGGAUGGACUAGAGCAGGACCUUCGCAGAGUCCCAGGUCUAGCUGGCAUGGGUUGUUGGUUGAAGUCUGUAGGGCCUGGUGGCAUUGUAUGCCAUGUUAUGAUGCAUAUUUCUUUCCCAGGAUAGUGUCCCUGAGCGAAUGUCGAAUGACCCCUGCUUAGUCCCUAGUGUUCUCUGUGGAUGGAGCUAGAGGAUGUCAUCCAGAGAUGGACGCCGGUGGGUAUGGGUCUCGUAGGGUAGUACUGCUAAGAGCCAUGGUAUGGGCUACUCGAUCGUGUGGGUAAAGUGUACGAGCUCUGCAUAGUUAAUUAAUCUAUUCGAAUAGCCGAGGUUCUCGGUCAUGAAAUCACAUGGUCAAAGCUCUCUUUGAUUAGUCACAUCCCUUUGAUAUAAAGUAGAGAACUGGGCACAAAUGCCCGUGCUUUUCAGAUAAGUAGGAUCCUGACGAUCACUGCCUUUAAAAUAUGGGAACUGGUUGGGGAGGCUUAGUUCCCCCUCCAGGGCCAAAACAACAUUAUUAUAAUAACAACUACCCCCCUUUUAAAGCUCAAAUGGUGUUACACUUUGCAUACAAACAACUUUCUGCAUAUAAAGCUAGCUUUCCUUGAUUUCCUUCACAUGUCAUUAACAUUUCAACGUUAAGAUACUUACUGAGUACUUCUGGCAAAAGUACUCAAUCUUCCUUGUUUUGCGAGGUCUUCUAGGAAGCUAGCUUUCAUCUUUCCACUGCACAUUGAUUGCUGCUUGAUUUUUCCCUAAAGGUGACAGUACACCGACAUAAUUCCCUCUAUUUUCUCUUCUUCUUACUUUGAUAAUCAUUCCAAUAUAUGCGGGUGCCCCAGUAACUGACCCAGGGCAUGGCACUGUAUUGCUUAAGUGUGGACGUCCGAGGGACGGUCCCCACAAGAGUGGUAUCAGAGCUGUAGUUAGUUAUAGGAUCCUUAGAAUGUAAAAUAAGGCAACCUACUAAAAGAAAUUCUAAACAACUUACCUUUCCUACAUCUUUGGUAUUCUUACCUUAUCUAAAACACCUCUUUUCUCUCAACAGGAAAGGAAAAGACUUCAAGUUUUCCUUUCUUUCUAUGAUAGAUGGCAGGAAAUGAAGAAUGGGAUAAUUGGGACAACUUGUUGGACGAAGAAUGGGGUACCCAUGGACAUAAUAUUCACAAAACUAGGUUCACGAAGAUUUUAUGGGAAACACUACAAAGUCUAGGAUGUACACCCCGAGUAUAGUGGAAAAGAGUCUCGAAAGAAGGCAUAAGUAGAUGCAAAAUGUACCUAAGAAUACCUGGCAUAAGUAGAUGCAAAAUGGAACGAGUAGAGGGAACCAAAUACUCUGAUUCCCUACAAGUCGUAGCAUUGGAAGCCUUUGUAAAACUAAGCACGAAAUAUGCCCACAAAUUGGACGGAACCCCAGCCAAAUAUUAACCUGUCCAAGAUCCAACCCUCCCUACAUGGCUAAGAAAAAUGGAACACCAAGGGUAUCUCCAAAACCCCUUCUUAGCCGCUACCGUCCAAUACACCACUACCCUAUAUAACCUCUAUAAACAAAAAGAAAUGGAUUUCCAGAUAAGCUAAAAGGAAGCUAAAGAAGCCAAACAUAGAGAGAGAAGCCUUAGAUAUAGAUUAAUGUGCACUAGAGACCAAGCAACACAAUCUGAACGUCAUGCAAAAAUAGCCAUGAGAGAAAUGACCACUAUUAUAGACAACCUCAAUACCACCAUGAAUGACCUCAACCAAUCCUUGCAGCUAAUAUUGUUGGAGGUAUGCCCUAGAGGCAAUCAUAGAGAUGAUGAUAUUCCAUUUGUAUCCAUGAUUUGUAUACUGUGUUCAUUGAAUAUCCAUUAAAGGCUACUUGAAUUGAUUUGCAAUUAUGUGAAUUGUAUGUGAAACUCUUUACUUGUAUGGUUAUUCUAAAGUU
rnacentral:lncRNA from 1 species